rnacentral:rRNA from 1 species
UACGUAGGGGGCGAGCGUUGUCCGGAUUUAUUGGGCGUAAAGAGCUCGUAGGCGGUCUGUCGCGUCUGCUGUGAAAACUCAGGGCUUAACCCUGAGCUUGCAGUGGGUACGGGCAGACUAGAGUGCGGUAGGGGAGACUGGAAUUCCUGGUGUAGCGGUGAAAUGCGCAGAUAUCAGGAGGAACACCGGUGGCGAAGGCGGGUCUCUGGGCCGUAACUGACGCUGAGGAGCGAAAGCAUGGGGAGCGAACAGG